GCCCAGCUAGCUCAGUCAGUAGAGCAUGAGACUAUUAAUCUCAGAGCCAUGGGUUCGUGACCCAAGUUGGGCG